rfam:Pyrenophora tritici-repentis Pt-1C-BFP supercont1.4 genomic scaffold, whole genome shotgun sequence.
GACACGAUGGCCGAGUGGUCUAAGGCGGUAGAUUUAAGCUUUGCUUAGAUCUCUACUACAGUAAUGUGCGUGGGUAUGUAUCUUCUGCAACCUCUAUCCUGUGGAAACUAUGCUAACGGCGGUAUCAGGUUCGAACCCCACUCGUGUCA